AGAGAAGCCCUGGAUGAGGCUGAAGACACAUCUAACAAGGAGGACACAGCACAGCACAAAUGCACACCACCACAGGACACAACCCGAUGACAGCAGACAAAGAGAGGCCGUACUCGGUCUUUGCUGGCGCAGGCGAAACAGAGCUGUCUGCAGUGGAAGGAGCAAGCUCAGGGGCUUGUCCACUGGCCCCAGCGGCGGGAGCAGGAGAGCCCAGGGCUGCAAAAACAUCCUUUGCAAGGGUUCCAAAUGGAGAACGUGCAAUGAAAGGAAAGGCACCAGCUGAUGGCGCAGGGUGGUGCAGCUGCUGGGUCCCUGGGCUGGAGCAGAGCCCAAACCUCAGCAAGGUGGACAGGUCUGCACUCACGAGAAGGCGGCCUUGCCCUCCUCCAUGUCCUUGCCCUUGGCCCCGGGCCCGGCUUUUCCACACAGGUUGACCGCAAUGCACAUGAACAGGCCACACUUGUUCAGGAAGUAGCAGGUGAUGUCCACAACCACCAGGAGCAGGACGAAGAUGACGAUGAGGAUGCCCACGAUGGCCCCGGUGCUCAGGCCUGAGAACAACCUGCUUCCAUAACUGGCAGCCCUGCCCCACCAGUAGACUAUGUCUAAAGCUUCCUGUGCUCUCAGGGCCAACUGAAGCCACCCAGGACUGCAGACUGAAGAUGGGAACUGUAGCCAGCACUACCUGGGGCUCACCCCACCAGCCACCCCACUCCCAACCCAGCUCGCUAGGCUUUGCCAAGCACCAGGCCAGGCUCAGCAGCUUGCGAGCCAUGUAACAUGCCAGAUAGAUAGUGGAGGGAACAUGUAACUGAGUAACCAGCACCAGAGCUGGGCCACACAUUUUUUGUUUUUCAUGCAGCCUGUAUUUGCGGGAGGGUGGUGGUAUUGAUGGCUCUGUGUGCCCCAGGGGUCUCUGUCCAGGCACUCUAGUGCUUCUCUGGUGGCUGUCCCUCUCCACUGGUCCAUAUUUCAAACUUCAGUUUGGGGAAUGGGCCAUCAGCCUAGCAUGCCAGAGAGGAUCCCUCACAAAUGACUCCUGAGACCCCUGGGUGCAGCUCGUACAUGUUUUUAGUCCCUUUGGGACCUUGGCUUGCCUCCCAGCCCUUCCUCCUCAGGCUCUCUGGCUGGUCCCUGCUGACCUCGCACUGAAGAUCCUAGCGCAUUCCCCCAGGAAGGCUUGAGAUGGCGAAGAACUCUGCUUGGAGAACCCAGCUCUGGACACCUGUCUCUGGGCUUUGGCAGCAGGAAGCUGGCCACUGGCCUUAGCCGUCAGCUAGAAUGGGUCAUUUUCUUAGCAGCCAUGAAUGCAGAGGUAUUUCUGGUUAGUCUCAUAAGAACAAAACCAUCCACUUCCCCAGAGUCCUCACACAUUCCACCCAAAAAGCAAAGGAGACACAGGCCUUCUUGGUCUUCAGGAUCCCAUAGCUGUUUCCCUGAACAGGGAAGAAACUUUAGCCUUGGGUUUUCUCUCCAUUCCAUGACACAGGGCUCCAGGCCACUGCAGCUUCCGGACAUCAGUACCCGAUAGGUGUAAAGUGCCUACUCCCUGAAGAAAGAUCUGAAAGUAUUUUUUUGAUGACAGUGGGGAAUAUGUCUGGAUUUUUGGACUCAAUGGCACUAAUUAUAUCUUCUGAGGUUUAUGUGUAAAUAUGAUUUUGUGAAACUAAUCAUAUCUCUAAAGAGGAAAAAUAA
ensembl:lncRNA NCAM1-AS1 NCAM1 antisense RNA1